AUUAAACAUUGCCGUUUUACAUUAAAUAUAGAAAAAUACGUAAAGAUUUAAAUAUCUAUCUUAAAAUAUAAAAUAUAGACAUUAACUAAAUAUAAAGUAUAAAAAAGAGAAAUACUCAUCUCUACUAAUAAAAGGGAGCUUUUGAGGCUCCGUAGGGCGUCCACAUCAGCGGAAAAAAUUUAUUCCGAAAGAUGACACGUGUCAUAAAAUAUAGUUUUACAUUUUAAUAUUAAUUAUUUUCGAAAAUUGUAAAAAAUAUGUAAACAUACAGCAUUAAAAAAUGGAAAAACUACAUUAAACAUAUGUAAGAUUACUAUUUUUCACUUAAAAAAAAAGACGGCUUAUCUCCAUAAUGUAACAUUACCGUUUUAUAAAAAAAAACAAAAAACAUUAUAUAUAAUUUCGAAAAUAAUAAAUAUAAGUAAAACAUACAACAUAAAAAUGGAAAUACUACAUUAAACAUAAAUAUGUUUGACUAUUUGUCCAAGUUCUUCUAUUAAACAUUGCCGUUUUACAUUAAAAAUAGAAAAAUACGUAAAGAUUUAAACAUCUAUCUUAAAAUAUAAAAUAUAGACAUUAACUAAAUAUAAAGUAUAAAAAAGAGAAAUACUCAAUAUAAAAAAAAUAAUAAUAAGUAAAUAUUAUAAAUAUAUAAAUAUAUGAAUUAUAUAUACAAUAAUAAGUAAAUGCACAAUUUUUUAAAAAUGGAAAGAGUAUAUUAAAUAUUAAACAUCUAUCUUAAAAUGUAAAAUAUAGAUAUUAAGUAAAUAGAAAAUAUAAGAAAAAGAAAUACACAACUUAAAAACAAUGGAAAAAGUAUAUUAAGAUUUAAACAUCUAUCUUAAAAUGUAAAAUAUAGAUAUUACGCAAAUAGAAAGUAUAAGAAAAGGAAAUACACAAUUUAAAAAAAAUAGAAAAAGUACAUUAGUAUUUAAACAUCUAUCUUAAAAUGUAAAUCAAUCUUAAAAUAUAAAAUUAUUAGUAAAUAGAAAGUAUAAAAAAUAAAAAUACACAAUAUAAAGAAAAAUAAAUAAUAAGUAAAUAUAUAAUAUAAUCUCGAAAGAUGACACAUGGCAUUAAAAUAUAAUUUUACAUUUUAAUAUUACUUAUUUUCGAAAAUUAUAAAAGAAAUGUAAACAUACAGCAUAAAAAAAAUGUAAAAACUACAUUAAACAUAUGUAAGAUUACUAUUUUUCACUUAAAAAAAGACGGCUUAUCUCCAUAACGUAACAUUACCGUUUUAUAAAAAAAACAAAAAACAUUAUAUAUAAUUUUGAAAAUAAUAAAUAUAUGUAAAACAUACAACAUAAAAAUGGAAAUACUACAUUAAACAUAUGUAAGAUUACCAUUUUACAUUUUUAUUUUAAGAAAAUAAUAUGUAAACAUACAACAUAAAAAAUGAAAAAACUACAUUAAACAUAUGUAAGAUUACCAUUUUUCACUAAAAAAAAGACGGCUUAUCUCCAUAAUGUAACAUUACUAUUUUGUAAAAAAAAAAUUAUAUAUAAUUUCGAAAAUAAUAAAUAAUAUGUAAACAUACAACAUAAAAAAUGGAAAUACUACAUUAAACAUAUGUAAAAUUACCAUUUUACAUUUAAAAAUAACAAUAAUAUGUAAACAUACAACAUAAAAAAAUGGAAAAACUACAUUAAACAUGUGUAAGAUUACCAUUGUUCACUAAAAAAACGGGUUAUCUUCAUAAUGUAACAUUAGAAUUUUAUUAAAAAAAGAAAAAAAAACAUAAAUAUAACUAUUUGACUAUUUGUCCAAGUUCUUCUAUUAAACAUUGCCGUUUUACAUUAAAAAUAGAAAAAUACGUAAAGAUUUAAACAUCUAUCUUAAAAUAUAAAAUAUAUACAUUAACUAAAUAUAAAGUAUAAGAAAGAGAAAUACUCAAUAUAUAGAAAAAUAAAUAAUAAGUAAAUAUUAUAAAUAUAUAAAUAUACGAAUUAUAUAUACAAUAAUAAGUAAAUGCACAAUUAUUAAAAAAUGAAAAUAGUAUAUUAAAUAUUAAACAUCUAUCUUAAAAUGUAAAAUAUAGAUAUUAAGUAAAUAGAAAGUAUUAGAAAAGGAAAUAC
rnacentral:lncRNA from 1 species